ensembl:lncRNA
GAAUGGUGCUAGGGAUGAAUGCAAUGUGGCUUUUGAUGGCUUCUGAUGGGCAGGUAAGAAACAGCUAAAUGGAGAAGAAUGGGAUCUGCUUAGGUGAUUUUUUUGUUAAGCCUAUGAUGGUUAAAGAGUAGUGGGCAGAAGGAAUUUCUGAAAAAUUCAAUUCUGAGGCUUAAAUUCUUAAGAUAUUAAUGGUUAGCUUAGCAACGCAGUAUGUUUCAUUAGAUUUCCUUUGUUUUCUAGCUAAGCGCCAAGAUAUGAGAAUCGCUGCUGGGGUGAGUUAUAGAAAUUCCCUCCACCAGGGGUGUUAGGUUGAAAUUCCUUUGUGCCAUAAUGAUGACAUUUUAUUUGCUACUCUUGACAGUGAGGAUGACGAGAAUCCUUACCACCAUUAUUCUAACUGAGGCACACAAAACAGUGGUUUAGAGGACAUAGAAAUUGCUCCUAAGCUUACAUGAAACUGUUUCUUCCCAGGUUGUAAAGCGCAAGCUUAACACUGUAUUUGUGGGCAAAAAGGUGCUAGGCAGAGUUAGCUGAAAGGUGAAGAGGUGAACUUGUCUGACAUGUCUGGACCAGCCUUUUUAGUGGGUACCCGGUAUUAUCUGUGGAUGGCUUGUUUGGGGUAAGACAUGAAAACAGUUCUUUGGCUCUUGGCACUUGGGGUUUUUGUUUUUAUAAUGUGCUAGUCUUAGUAAUUGUGAUGGUGUUUUCUGGUGUUGGACAGUUGGAGUAUUGAAGCUAUUUUGAAAUGUGUCUGAAGAAAUAAUUUUUUUCAGGUGCAGAUUUUGAGGACCUUUUGUAUAAAGGUGUGAAGAGGCCUUGGCUACAAGGCAUUGAUUGGAACAUGCCUUAAAAGGUAUUGUAGCCUUAAGUUAGGUUUCUGUUUUAUGUGAUUUUUCUUUUUUAAGCCGAUACAAUGAUGAUAACAUAGUUCAGCAGACUUGACAGUGAUGAGCAAAUAACUGUCUUUCGCUCCUAUCUGAUGUAUCUGGCUGUAACAAUUCUGUUUAUACAGUUUCUCAGAAAUGUUAAUGGAUUUGGAUAAGCCUAAUGACUAAUGGAGAUGUCCUAUACUAUUAAACUUAAGUCAUAGUCAAGCUUAGGGUUACCAAGAGGGAAACUGAAGGCACACUACAUACAAGGUAGCUAACCAGGGACCAACUAUAAUAGCACAGUGUGGUCUACUCAGUGUUAACCUAAAGCUAAUACAACUUAAUUCAACUAUACUCCAAUAAAAACAUUAAAAUUCCAGAAUUACCAAUUGACAUUUAGAUGAAGACAGGCUAACAUUCUUGUGAGGAAGUUUUUAUGGUAUAUAAUGUACAUAAUGCCAGAUGACUUGUUUAGUUGAUUAUUUUAGAAUCAUUUUUUAGAUCGGCUUGGGAUUCAUAGCAAAGUUAACCACAUACCAUGCACACAAAAUCUAGCACUGGAAUAGUACGUUGGGGUUCACUCAUGUUCUGAGUGGGGACAAGUGCUGACAAACACAACAUACAAAAUACGUUCACUGUCCUAAAUUUUUUCACAUUUUCAAACAGGCAGAUCUUCUGUUACCCUGAAGAUUCAAAGUAAGUCAGCCUUUUAUAUAUAGUUAUUAUAUGUAUGUUUGAAUGUAACCAGUGAUGUGAUGAUUCUGCCAAAUGAAUAAGAUGAUAUCACCCAUAAACCGUUCCAUUUUGAUUCUGAGGUUACUAACAAGUAUCACUUAAGUCUUGGGUUAUUUUACUGUGAUCUAACAUGUUCUUUCCUUUUUAGGGCAUUUAAAUGAGCAGCAGUCAACGCAACUUAACCAAUUGACAGGUAGCUGGAUGGAUGCUUGUGGGAUGGAUAGAAGAAAAGUAAACAACUUUGUAUUUUAAUAAAUGUUUUUUACUUAAAA